GACGAACGCUGGCGGCGUGCUUAACACAUGCAAGUCGAACGGUAAGGCCCUUCGGAGUACACGCGUGGCGAACGGGUGAGUAACACGUGGGUGAUCUGCCCUGCACUUCGGGCUAAGCCUGGGAAACUGGGUCUAAUACCGGAUAGGACCACUGCCUGCAUGGGUGGUGGUGGCAAGAUAGUGCGGUGUGGGAUGGGCCCGCGGCCUAUCAGCUUGUUGGUGGGGUGAUGGCCUACCAAGGCGACGACGGGUAGCCGGCCUGAGAGGGUGACCGGCCACACUGGGACUGAGAUACGGCCCAGACUCCUACGGGAGGCAGCAGUGGGGAAUAUUGCACAAUGGGCGCAAGCCUGAUGCAGCGACGCCGCGUGAGGGAUGACGGCCUUCGGGUUGUAAACCUCUUUCAGCACCGACGAAGCGCAAGUGACGGUAGGUGCAGAAGAAGGACCAGCCAACUACGUGCCAGCCGCCGCGGUAA
rnacentral:rRNA from 1 species